UACGUAGGGGCGAGCGUUGUCCGGAAUAAUUGGGCGUAAAGGGCGCGUAGGCGGCUCUGCAAGUCAGUAGUGGAAGUCCCAUUUUCAAGGUGGGGAGGGCUAUUGAAACUGCGGAGCUUGAGUGCAGGAGAGGUUAUCGGAAUUCCCGGUGUAGCGGUGAAAUGCGUAGAGAUCGGGAGGAACACCAGUGGCGAAGGCGGGUAACUGGACUGCAACAGACGCUGAGGCGCGAAAGUGUGGGGAGCAAACAGGAUUAGAUACCCUGGUAGUCCCU
rnacentral:rRNA from 1 species